CGGGACGUGGCGCAGGCUGGUAGCGCGCUUGACUGGGGGUCAAGAGGUCGCAGGUUCAAAUCCUGUCGUCCCGA
rnacentral:tRNA from 1 species